rnacentral:ncRNA from 1 species
AAGUAUCUCCGAGUCCCGUUACGGAUGGCGAUGAUAGGAGUAACAGCGGUUGGUAUAGUCAUCGACGCACCUGUUUGAUUUAGAGAGUGAUUGCUUCACACCACGAGAACAGGCUACGCUGUAAACCACAAUAUCCCCACAUUGGGGAAUUCCCGCCCUUCGGGGUGGGAG